rnacentral:lncRNA from 1 species
GUGAGGAAGCAGUGGCGAGCAAGGAGCGAGGGAUGUUUGAUUUCUUGGGGAAGAAAGAAGAGGAGAAGCCUCAACCUCAAGAGGAGGUGGUCGCCACCCAGUUUGAGAAAGUCAAGAUAGAAGAGGAACAUAAGGAAGAUGAGAAGAAACACAGUCUCCUGGACAAGCUUCACCGAUCCAAUAGCACCUCCAGCUCUGUAAUUACUUUUUUUACUUCCUUACUUACUAGUCAUAGUUCAAACAGUCAAAUCUUUUUCAUAUAUAUUAUAACAUGCGUUGUAUGAAUGUUCAGUCUAGUGACGAGGAAGAAGGUGAUGGCGGAGAGAAGAAGAAGAAGAAAAAGGAGAAGAAGGGAAAGAAAGAAGAGGACAGUGCAGUCCCAGUGGAGAAGUGCGAUGAGGCGGCAACAGUUCACCACUCAGAGACGCCGGAAAAGAAGGGUUUCAUGGAGAAGAUCAAAGACAAACUCCCAGGACAGCAUAAGAAAGAUGAAGAGGUCACCACCCCACCACCAGCUGCUGCUGCCCCAACUGAGAACGACCACCAUGAGGGAGAGACAAAAGAGAAGAAGGGAUUUUUGGAGAAAAUCAAGGAGAAAAUUCCUGGUUACCACUCCAAAACAGAGGACGAGAAGGAAAAAGAGACCACUGCUCCCCAUUAAUGAAUCAAUAUAAUGCAUUUCAAGU